GUGUGGUAUGAAAGGAGAGAAGGUUAGCACUCCCCUUGAUAAGCAAGUAUUAUAUGCAAUGGAGAUAAAUUAGAGGCCUUCCCAAUAAGAUCAGGGGUGAAACAGGGAUGUCCAUUAUCACCCCUAUUAUUU